rnacentral:rRNA from 1 species
AUUGAACGCUGGCGGCAUGCCUUACACAUGCAAGUCGAACGGCAGCGCGGACUUCGGUCUGGCGGCGAGUGGCGAACGGGUGAGUAAUGUAUCGGAACGUACCAUUCGGUGGGGGAUAACGCAGCGAAAGUUGCGCUAAUACCGCAUAUUCUGUGCGCAGGAAAGCAGGGGAUCGCAAGACCUUGCGCUGAAUGAGCGGCCGAUAUCAGAUUAGCUAGUUGGUGAGUUAAAGGCUCACCGAGGCGACGAUCUGUAGCGGGUCUGAGAGGAUGAUCCGCCACACUGGAACUGAGACACGGUCCAGACUCCUACGGGAGGCAGCAGUGGGGAAUUUUGGACAAUGGGCGCAAGCCUGAUCCAGCCAUGCCGCGUGAGUGAAGAAGGCCUUCGGGUUGUAAAGCUCUUUCGGCCGGGAAGAGAUCGUAUGGGUUAAUACCCUGUGCGGAUGACGGUACCGGCAUAAGAAGCACCGGCUAACUACGUGCCAGCCGCCGCAGUAACAC